AGUUAUAUCUAUGCCUGGAUUUAUUAUUUACAUCAUUCUAUAUCAGUACAUUGUUAAUGAUUUUUAAACUUUGUUAGAUGCUCUAGUUUCUAGCUCAGGCUCUUUCACGAGUAUAAUGUACUCUCCUCUUCAUAUUUUCACCAGGGGAUACCAAAAGAUUACGAUUUAAUUUGUGAUAGGAAUACUUCUCAUGAUCUGUUUCCAUACAUGCAGAAUUUGCUUGAUGUUAUGCCGAUAGAAAAAUCCAAGAAUAGGCCAACAGGUUUGAAUGCUUUUGGUUGAAAUGCAUGCAUGCUAUGUGUACUCUAGAUGGGUUCUACAAUUUACAGUAGCCAAGUAAUAACUAAUGUUUGUGUAAUUUGUAAUUUCAUUGAUCUUAUACAACUAGGUGUACUAUUGGAUCAUUAAAAUAUAUAUAUAGAGAUGAAGAAAGAUUCAUUGGAAUAAAUUUAUCAGGCCCAUGGAGAAAGGUAAAUUUUGGAGCUGUACUUGUAUGUUCUUACUCUAACAAUUUUGAGCUUAUAGUUCUUUCUUUUUUUAUUUGUUUGCAGAUGAAAGGCUUAAUCUGAACCGCCCAAUCUGUGGACCUGACUUCAGAUAUGGUACAUCACAAUCAGAUUAGUUUGACAUCAUGAUUUCUUAUUAACAGACACCCUUGGCUUGGAAAGCAAGGUUGCAUGCUAUGGGCCAUCGAACAAUCCCCACUUCAAUUGAUGAGCUUUUUUGUGUUGAAUAUGGACUGUUGGACGGUGAUGUUUGGAUGGUGGUGUUUGGUUGGACACAUUAAUUUUAUUUUAACAGUUUUAC